rnacentral:rRNA from 1 species
GACGAACGCUGGCGGCGUGCUUAACACAUGCAAGUCGAACGGAAAGGCCCUGCUUUUGUGGGGUGCUCGAGUGGCGAACGGGUGAGUAACACGUGAGUAACCUGCCCUUGACUUUGGGAUAACUUCAGGAAACUGGGGCUAAUACCGGAUAGGAGCUCCUGCUGCAUGGUGGGGGUUGGAAAGUUUCGGCGGUGGGGGAUGGACUCGCGGCUUAUCAGCUUGUUGGUGGGGUAGUGGCUUACCAAGGCUUUGACGGGUAGCCGGCCUGAGAGGGUGACCGGCCACGUUGGGACUGAGAUACGGCCCAGACUCCUACGGGAGGCAGCAGUGGAGAAUAUUGCACAAUGGGCGGAAGCCUGAUGCAGCGACGCCGCGUGCGGGAUGACGGCCUUCGGGUUGUAAACCGCUUUCGCCUGUGACGAAGCGUGAGUGACGGUAAUGGGUAAAGAAGCACCGGCUAACUACGUG